AUACGGAGGGUGCAAGCGUUAAUCGGAAUUACUGGGCGUAAAGCGCGCGUAGGCGGUUUGAUAAGUCGGAUGUGAAAUCCCCGGGCUCAACCUGGGAAUUGCAUUCGAUACUGUCAGGCUCGAGUGUGGUAGAGGGAAGUGGAAUUUCCGGUGUAGCGGUGAAAUGCGUAGAUAUCGGAAGGAACACCAGUGGCGAAGGCGGCUUCCUGGACCAACACUGACGCUGAGGUGCGAAAGCGUGGGGAGCAAACAGGAUUAGAUACCCUAGUAGUCC
rnacentral:rRNA from 1 species